rnacentral:rRNA from 1 species
CCUACGUGCGGCUGCAGUGGGUAAUAUUUCACAAUGGGGGAAACCCUGAUGCCGCGACGCCGCGUGAGUGAAGAAGUAUUUCGGUAUGUAAAGCUCUAUCAGCAUGGAAGAAAAUGACGGUCCCUUAUUAAGAAGCCCCUGCUAACUACGUGCCAGCCGCCGCGGUAAUACGUAGGGGGCAAGCGUUAUCCGGAUUUACUGGGUGUAAAGGGAGCGUAGACGGCAGCACAAGUCUGGAGGGAACUGCCGGGGCUUAACCCCGGAAUUGCUUUGGAAACUGUGCAGCUAGAGUGCAGGAGAGGUAAGUGGAAUUCCUAGUGUAGCGGUGAAAUGCGUAGAUAGUAGGAGGAACACCAGUGGCGAAGGCGGCUUACUGGACUGUAACUGACGUUGAGGCUCGAAAGCGUGGGGAGCAAACAGGAUUAGAUACCCUGGUAGUC